AGCGAACGCUGGCGGCAUGCCUAACACAUGCAAGUCUGACGGGCUUGGGGCGACCCAGGUCAGUGGCGGACGGGUGAGGAGCGCGUAGGAACGCAUCCAAGGGUGGGGGACAACCGCGGGAAACUGCGGCUAAUACCGCAUGGGGCCUGAGGGCCAAAGGCUGGGAGACCAGUCGCCUGUGGAGCGGCCUGCGUCCGAUUAGCUAGGUUGGGGGGUAACGGCCCACCAAGGCGGUGACCGGUAGCUGGUCUGAGAGGAUGAUCAGCCACACUGGGACUGAGACA
rnacentral:rRNA from 1 species